AAAAAAUCACCUAAACAGGAUGCAAAAAGCACCAAUCAUGAUGGAAAAGAUGAACAUGUUGAUGAAAGUCCUCAUUUAAAAAGUAACAUGCUAUUGAAUUCCCAUAAUAAGAGAGUGAGAGUCUUCUCAAAAUAAGGGAUCUGAGUGUUAGAGAAGGAAAGCAAACCUGAGCUUUGGCUGAGUCAAGUAUCAAGUCCAGUCCUGUAUCCUUUCCCUAAUUCUUGAUCUCUCCAGUAAUUUUGGUGAUGCCUCACCUUCACCUGAUACUGUUACCAGCCCCUGCCAGCCACAGGACAUGCAGUGCAGCAUGGCUUCUCAAUAACCCUCCUAUCUCUUGAAGCCAGGUCCCAGGUUCUAGGACUAAAUUCACAAUCGCUCAUUACCCAUACAAGGAGGCAGAUACAAUAAUCCAUGAUAAUCUUAUCAAAAUCCUUAAAUUAAUCACUUCUGCAAAUUCCAUUUUCCCAUGUAAAGUAAAAUAUUUACAUGUUCCAGUGAUCAGGAUGUAGACAUCUUUUUGGGGACUACUAUUUGCCCACUAAAGGAAGGAAAACAGAUGUUAAAUAGGACACAAAAGCACCAAUCAUAAUAGAAAAGAUUAAUAAAUUGAUGAAAGUCUUCAUUAAAAUACUAAAAACAUAUCCAACUGAGGAGGAGAUAUUUGUUAAAUAUAUAACCAAAUCCUCCCCUUCCUUCUCACCUUCCUUUCCCAUUACCUCUCAAAACAAUCCAGUACCAAAUCCACUAUGGGUCCAAAUAAGUUAGGUAUUUAUGGCACUCGUGAUAGAACUGCUUUCUCUGAGUUAUCUGUCAGAGCCCAAUCAGGUUAAAAGAGACACUCCUGCAGAGAGGCUGCCUGGGAUGGUGUAUGAGGUGCUGAUCAGGGAGACGGCAGUGUCACAGAAAGGCAGGCAGUGUCACAGAAAGGCAUGUGCAUCAAAUCCUGAGCAGGUGAUGAGGACCUCCAUGCUGUUGGGCACUUAAUUUGGGAUUUCACAGAUUGUAUCAAACAAAGAAAUGGGCAUCCAGUGUGGUAGGCGGGGAUGGAGUAUCAGAGCUUGAGUAAGUAAGGAAGACAUUGAUGCAGAAGAUGGGGCCGCCUGGUGAGGGAACUCAGAGCCAAGCAGUGUGCAAACAGCAUCCCCAUGGAGGAGUGGUCUAGCAUGGGGAGUCAGAGCCUUAGAGAGGAAAAUGGAUUUGUGUUGGAGAGGAUCUGGCCACCUGGAGCUGUUUUUAUUCCUGAUCUCCAUUUACAAAAAUUCACCCUGAAAUAUCUGGCUGACCCAAAGUAUCAACAUCACCCCAGUUGCCAAUAGCUUUGGCCAUACUCUGCCCUCAUACCAACUUGGCUACAUACCUGUCUGAGGAAGGGCAGACUGUCUGCUGCUGCAACCCUCCCUUAUCUGGGCAUCAUCACUUCAUUCCCAGUAUUAAGGAUGCCUUCUUUGACACUCUCUGACUUCCAUCACAUUUCCCCAAGAUCCAGUGAACACUCCAACUCCAUUAAGGAGAGUUUCCCAGGUCAAAGCACUUCUCUGCACUCUGUAAAACUGGUAUUGACCACCACAUAUGCUUAUACUUAAGUAGUGCUGAGUCAUUAAUAUGAGAUCACCAUAAAA